UUGAAGGGGACAAAAUAGAUAUUCAUGAAUAAAUAAAUAAUUUUUGAAAAAACACAAAAUUCGCGAUACUUUUUGAACACACCUCGUAUGAACAUUCAUCAGUUAUAACUAUGUUUAGAUUAAUAAUAGGAACUCGAACUGACAAAAAUAUGGGUUAAUAAGAUUAUGUAAAGCAUAACGGUUAGUGCUAAUAAUUUUUACAAUCUCCAGUUUAUUUGAUUUAUAUUUAGAUUAAUGUAUAAUGAAAAAUCUAUAGAUUAUUUUGUUAGAACAAUGAAUUCUAACCUUACUUUUUAUUGCACCUGUCAAAUAGCUCUGACAUAUUGUGCUCAAUAAUUUUUUAAACGUUUAAAUAUGUAUUAUUUUAUUUGUUAGAGCAAGUCAGGAAAGGUAUGGUGACGAAGCAAUUGGAUAUGUGGAGAUAUGUCGUCAAAAAAGAAUGUGUACCAUUCGUGCUAAAAUAUGCCCUAAACACAAAGUUCGUAACAAAGCAUACGCAGUUGAAUUAAUAAUUGAUGAAAGAAAAAAUGAAAUUAAAAGUGCAUAAUGCUUUGAUUGUGCAGCUUCUUCAGGUGGUUGCAAGCACGCCAUAGCAUUUUUAAUGUGGGCACAUCGAAGAAGCGAAGAACCUGCUCCAACAUCUGUAGCAUGUUAUUGGAAGCGUCCCACAAUGUCGUCAAUAGGAACAUCAUUAAAAUGUGUAACUGCGAAGAUGUUAAGUAGAAGCAAAUAUGAAGAAUUUACAGUAUUAAAUACAAAUUUUUUGGAAGAUUUUAUCGAAAUAGCUAAAACAAGAAAACUCGACAGUCAAAUUACGCGUCAUUUCAUACAUAAUUACGACAAUUCUUUAAAAUCAUUAUCAUUACAUUUUCUUCUUUUAAGAUAUAACUGUAGUGAUCGAGAUAAAAGAAAUGUUGCUGACUUUUCACGUUUUGCAAAACAACACAUGAGCUUAAAUUUGUGCAUUGAAGCUACAAAAGCUAUAAAAGAACAAAGUUCCUGUCGCUGGUAUGAACUACGCUAUGGAAGAAUUACAGCUUCAACCAUAUAUGAAGCUGCAAACUGUAAAACUACAAACGGUUCGUACGUUGAAAGAGUUAUAGGUGCAGUAAAAUUAAUAGAGACUUAAGCGAUGAGACGAGGAAGAAAUCUUGAACGAGAAGUUUUACAGGUAGUCGAGAAAAAGUUGGGAAGGGAAUUUUACCCAACUGGUUUAAUAUUGUUGCCUGAUUACCCUAUAUUUGGAGCUUCUCCUGAUUCUUAUACAAAAGAUUACAUCGUCGAGGUUAAAUGCCGGUUAACCGAAAAAUCUGAAGACAGAUAUAUAUGUAAGAAUGGAUCAAUAGCAAAGAAGUUUUAUUCCCAAAUGCAAAUUCAAAUGAUGUUUGCCAAUCGAACUAAAGGUUUAUUUUGCGUGGCGAAAUUUGAUUUUGAGACAUCCAAAAAAGUGAAACUUGUGUGGGUGGAUUAUGAUUCCAAUUACACUAAAAAUAUAAUAUCCAAUUCAUUAAAAUUCUAGGAAAAAAAUAUUUUUCCAUUACUUUUAAAAUCUGUACAAAAAUAGAAAAGAAAACAUGUAUUCAAAUAUAAAAAAAUGUAUUGAAAAAUAUCAUUUUGAGCAAGAUAUAGUAAUGUACAGUCUAUAAUUGAUUGUCUAGAAAUAGAAAUUCAAAAACCUACUAAUGCAGUACAUCAAGCUCUAACGUGGUCAGAUUACAAAAAAUGCAAUACUUUAAAAUAUCUAUGGUAUAGGAAGUAAAAACUGUAUAGUACCUUUUUUUUGGCCAAAAAAUAAAAGACCUUAAACAAGCUAUUAAUGGAAUAGACUUAUUAAAAAUUCUAUUUGCAUGACUAGCAGACAUGCCAAACUCAUCGCCUAAACGAGAAAACGUAUCAUUCAUUUUAAUUUUAGUUAAUGUUAAAUAUAUGUCUGUAUGAAUUAAACCUGUCUUGUUGUGCAAAAGGUUUAUGACAUAUAAAAACUGGUCUGAAAUACCUAUAUACAUUUUAAGUUUUUUUUUUUAUAAUGGAAAGCUUCAACUCUCUCGUAAUAUUGUCUGAUUCCGUUUUGUGCGUUUUUAAUUCUUCACUCGUGUAUUCUUCCGAAGGAAAAUAUCCAUCGGUACUCUUCAAAGUAUCCUCAUUUAUCGAUGUAAUAUUAUCGAUAGUAUCAUCAGUAAUAUUACUGCUGGAUUUAUCAAUACCACUUUUUUCUGCCUUUAUAUUUUGUUUAAUAGGAGAACAGGCCAUGUCUUUACUUAUAGGUUUGCAAAGAAUAGCUUUACUUCUGAAAGGUGGCUUUGCUUGUACACCAACAUCUUUAAAUCGUAUUUCGAAAUUAUCCCUCUCAUCAAUAUCCAUACUUUCUUGUAUUAAAGCAUCAUCAGUAGCAUCUAUCACUGUUUGUGUAGAACAUCCUGCAUCUAUUUCAUUAGCCAUUGUUUUCUCUGAUACUUUCUUUUCCAUAUCCUGCAAAGUUUGUAUUCUUUUCCGUUUUGCAGCUCCCGAUUUCAUAUCAGCUUUGUCACUUGUAUUCUGUCUAUCCUGACAAUUAAAAAUAUGUGGAACCGUGUCUUUUUUCAAUUGAAUUCGUCCUCCCAUUAUUUUAAAUCUACAAUAAUUGUCUAUGUCUUCCUGUAACUAAUAUGUAAUAAAUAUGUAAAAAAUACAAAAAA